rnacentral:rRNA from 1 species
UACGGAGGGAGCUAGCGUUGUUCGGAAUUACUGGGCGUAAAGCGCGCGUAGGCGGCUUUGUAAGUUAGAGGUGAAAGCCCGGAGCUCAACUCCGGAACUGCCUUUAAAACUGCAUCGCUUGAAUCCAGGAGAGGUGAGUGGAAUUCCGAGUGUAGAGGUGAAAUUCGUAGAUAUUCGGAAGAACACCAGUGGCGAAGGCGGCUCACUAGACUGGUAUUGACGCUGAGGUGCGAAAGCGUGGGGAGCAAACAGG